GUGAACGCUGGCGGCGUGCCUAACACAUGCAAGUCGAACGAUGAUGGAGAGCUUUCUCUCCUGAUUAGUUGCGCACGGGUGAGUAUACCAUAGAUAAUGUACCUCUUAGUUUGGGAUAGCCACUGGAAUCGGUGAUUAAUCCCAGAUACUCCUUCUCGUUAUAAGACGCGUCGGGAAAGUUUUUUCGCUAAGAGAUCAGUCUAUGUCCUAUCAGCUAGUUGGUGAGGUAAUGGCUCACCAAGGCUAUGACGGGUAUCUGGUUUGAGAGGAUGAUCAGACACACUGGAACUGAGACACGGUCCAGACUCCUACGGGAGGCAGCAGUGAGGAAUAUUGCACAAUGGAGGAAACUCUGAUGCAGCAACGCCGCGUGGAGGAUGAAGCAUUUCGGGGUGUAAACUCCUUUUAAGAGGGAAGAUAAUGACGGUACCUCGUGAAUAAGCACCGGCUAACUCCGU
rnacentral:rRNA from 1 species